UGUCAUAUCAUGUUGAAACACCGAUUCACGUAUAAACAUCGAAGUUAAGCAACGUCGAGUUUGAUUAGUACCUAGAUGGGUGACCACUUGGGAAUACCAGGUGCUGUAAG